UCCCUCGUGGCGCAAUUGGCUAGCGCGUUCGACUGUUACCAAGAGAUGUGUUGGCAUCGAGAGGUUGGUGGUUCGAGCCCACCCGAGGGAG
rfam:Blumeria graminis f. sp. hordei DH14, WGS project CATH01000000 data, contig: 001352